rnacentral:rRNA from 1 species
UAGUAACGGCGAGUGAAGCGGCAACAGCUCAAAUUUGAAAUCUGGCUCCUUUGGGGUCCGAGUUGUAAUUUGCAGAGGGUGCUUUGGCAUCGGCGGCGGUCUAAGUUCCUUGGAACAGGACAUCGCAGAGGGUGAGAAUCCCGUACGUGGGCGCCUGCCUUUGCCGUGUAAAGCCCCUUCGACGAGUCGAGUUGUUUGGGAAUGCAGCUCUAAAUGGGAGGUAAAUUUCUUCUAAAGCUAAAUACCGGCCAGAGACCGAUAGCGCACAAGUAGAGUGAUCGAAAGAUGAAAAGUACUUUGGAAAGAGAGUCAAAUAGCACGUGAAAUUGUUGAAAGGGAAGCGCUUGCAGCCAGACUUGCCCGUAGUUGCUCACCCAGGCUCCGGCCUGGGGCACUCUUCUGCGGGCAGGCCAGCAUCAGUUUGGGCGGUUGGAUAAAGGCCUCUGUCACGUAUCUCCCUUCGGGGUGACCUUAUAGGGGAGGCGCAAUGCAACCAGCCCGGACUGAGGUCCGCGCAUCUGCUAGGAUGCUGGCGUAAUGGCUGUAAGCGGCCCGUCUUGAAACACGGACCAAGGAGUCUAACAUCUAUGCGAGUGUUUGGGUGUCAAGCCCGGGCGCGUAAUGAAAGUGAACGGAGGUGGGAACCCUUUGGGUGCACCAUCGACCGAUCCUGAUGUCUUCGGAUGGAUUUGAGUAAGAGCAUAGCUGUUGGGACCCGAAAGAUGGUGAACUAUGCUUGAAUAGGGUGAAGCCAGAGGAAACUCUGGUGGAGGCUCGCAGCGGUUCUGACGUGCAAAUCGAUCGUCAAAUUUGGGCAUAGGGGCGAAAGACUAAUCGAA